rnacentral:rRNA from 1 species
GGAGCCGACCUUGAAAUACCACCCUUUAAUGUUUGAUGUUCUAACGUGGACCCGUAAUCCGGGUUGCGGACAGUGUCUGGUGGGUAGUUUGACUGGGGCGGUCUCCUCCUAAAGAGUAACGGAGGAGCACGAAGGUUGGCUAAUCCUGGUCGGACAUCAGGAGGUUAGUGCAAUGGCAUAAGCCAGCUUGACUGCGAGCGUGACGGCGCGAGCAGGUGCGAAAGCAGGUCAUAGUGAUCCGGUGGUUCUGAAUGGAAGGGCCAUCGCUCAACGGAUAAAAGGUACUCCGGGGAUAACAGGCUGAUACCGCCCAAGAGUUCAUAUCGACGGCGGUGUUUGGCACCUCGAUGUCGGCUCAUCACAUCCUGGGGCUGAAGUAGGUCCCAAGGGUAUGGCUGUUCGCCAUUUAAAGUGGUACGCGAGCUGGGUUUAGAACGUCGUGAGACAGUUCGGUCCCUAUCUGCCGUGGGCGCUGGAGAACUGAGGGGGGCUGCUCCUAGUACGAGAGGACCGGAGUGGACGCAUCACUGGUGUUCGGGUUGUCAUGCCAAUGGCACUGCCCGGUAGCUAAAUGCGGAAGAGAUAAGUGCUGAAAGCAUCUAAGCACGAAACUUGCCCCGAGAUGAGUUCUCCCUGAGACUUAGAGUCUCCUGAAGGAACGUUGAAGACGACGACGUUGAUAGGCCGGGUGUGUAAGCGCAGCGAUGCGUUGAGCUAACCGGUACUAAUGAACCGUGAGGCUUAACCUUACAACGCCGAAG